UUCCUAACACCCAGUGGAGGCAGCCUAGAGACCCAUGCAGAAGGCAGGGUAAGAGCCACAUGGGUCUCUGAAACCAGGAAGUCUGUCAUCACAGCUCAAGCACAGUCUGAAGGUGUACGAUGUAGUGAUUCAACAGUUCUAUACGUUACUCAGUGCUCAGCAAGAAGACAGGGUUUGCGAGGACUUGGAGAGGAGGCAGCUGUCUGCAAGCUGAGAAGAGAGGCUUUCCCAGAAACUAAGUCAGCUGGGAUCUUACCUUGCACUUCCCAGCCUCCAGAGCCGUGAGAAAUAAAUGUCUGUGGCUAAGCCAUCCAGUCUGUGGU